rnacentral:rRNA from 1 species
GAUGAACGCUGGCGGCGUGCCUAACACAUGCAAGUCGAACGAAGCGCCUUACCGGAUUCUUCGGAUGAAGGUCUGGUGACUGAGUGGCGGACGGGUGAGUAACGCGUGGGUAACCUGCCCUGUACAGGGGGAUAACAGCUGGAAACGGCUGCUAAUACCGCAUAAGCGCACGAGGAGACAUCUCCUUGUGUGAAAAACUCCGGUGGUACAGGAUGGGCCCGCGUCUGAUUAGCUGGUUGGCAGGGUAACGGCCUACCAAGGCAACGAUCAGUAGCCGGUGUGAGAGGAUGAGCGGACACAUUGGAGCUGAGACACGGUCCAAACUCCUACGGGAGGCAGCAGAGGGGAAUAUUGCACAAUGGGGGAAACCCUGAUGCAGCAACGCCGCGUAAGUGAAGAAGUAUUUCGGUAAGUAAAGCUCUAUCAGCAGGGAAGAUAAUGACGGUACCUGACUAAGAAGCUCCGGCUAAAUACGUG